AUUGAACGCUGGCGGCAGGCCUAACACAUGCAAGUCGAACGCGUGGCGGACGGGUGAGUUAUGUCUGGGACACUGCCUGAUGGAGGGGGAUAACUACUGGAAACUGUAUCUAAUACCGCAUCCCAUCAGAUGUGCCCAGAUGGGAUUAGCUUGUUGGUGGGGUAACGGCUCACCAAGGCGACGAUCCCUAGCUGGUCUGAGAGGAUGACCAGCCACACUGGAACUGAGACACGGUCCAGACUCCUACGGGAGGCAGCAGUGGGGAAUAUUGCACAAUGGGCGAAAGCCUGAUGGAGCCAUGCCGCGUGUAUGAAGAAGGCCUUCGGGUUGUAAAGUACUUUCAGCAGGGAGGCGUUACCCGAAGAAGAAGCACCGGCUAACUCCGUGCCAGCAGCCGCGGUAAUUC
rnacentral:rRNA from 1 species